rnacentral:rRNA from 1 species
GAUGAACUCUGGCGGCGUGCCUAAUACAUGCAAGUCGAGCGAACAGACGAGGAGCUUGCUCCUCUGACGUUAGCGGCGGACGGGUGAGUAACACGUGGAUAACCUACCUAUAAGACUGGGAUAACUUCGGGAAACCGGAGCUAAUACCGGAUAAUAUAUUGAACCGCAUGGUUCAAUAGUGAAAGACGGUUUUGCUGUCACUUAUAGAUGGAUCCGCGCCGCAUUAGCUAGUUGGUAAGGUAACGGCUUACCAAGGCAACGAUGCGUAGCCGACCUGAGAGGGUGAUCGGCCACACUGGAACUGAGACACGGUCCAGACUCCUACGGGAGGCAGCAGUAGGGAAUCUUCCGCAAUGGGCGAAAGCCUGACGGAGCAACGCCGCGUGAGUGAUGAAGGUCUUCGGAUCGUAAAACUCUGUUAUUAGGGAAGAACAAAUGUGUAAGUAACUAUGCACGUCUUGACGGUACCUAAUCAGAAAGCCACGGCUAACUACGU